rnacentral:rRNA from 1 species
UCCAGACUCCUACGGGAGGCAGCAGUGGGGGAUAUUGCACAAUGGGGGGAACCCUGAUGCAGCGACGCCGCGUGGGUGAAGGAGCGUUUCGGCGCGUAAAGCCCUAUCGGCAGGGAAGAAGGAGGACGGUACCUGACUAAGAAGCCCCGGCUAACUACGUGCCAGCAGCCGCGGUAAUACGUAGGGGGCAAGCGUUAUCCGGAUUUACUGGGUGUAAAGGGGGCGCAGACGGCAGCGCAAGCCAGGAGUGAAAGCCCGGGGCCCAACCCCGGGACUGCUCUUGGAACUGCGCGGCUGGAGUGCAGGAGGGGCAGGCGGAAUUCCUGGUGUAGCGGUGAAAUGCGUAGAUAUCAGGAGGAACACCGGUGGCGAAGGCGGCCUGCUGGACGGCGACUGACGUUGAGGCCCGAAAGCGUGGGGAGCAAACAGGAUUAGAUACCCCAGUAGAC